AGGUGGCAUGUGAAAAGACUGUGUCAGCCAUGCACCAUGUUCUUCAGAGGACUAUUGAAAGUGCUAAAGCACAAGCUGGAAAAGGGAAGAAGCCCAGUCCAGCCCAACUGGAACUGAGAAUGGUCCAAAGCAAAAUGGAUAUAGAGAAUCCAGAGAUAAUAGUGGAAGCCACUGUGUUAUAGAGAGUAUGUCCACAUUGCCCAGUAACGCACAAUGUAUUAAUGUCUUUGUUUCCCUUCCUGUAAAAAAUGUAAUGUUUGCCUGAGAGAUAUGACUUAAACUUGAUGUUUUUUCUCUCACAAAAUAGUGUCAAGUAUCAACAGAUCUUUUCUUGUGAAAAUGUGAUGGCUAUGUUUGGAUUUUAUUUUCUUGUUCAGAGAGGGAAAUACCUCUCCCCACAAUUCAUUCACUAUGUAUACUGCCCUGGAUAAUAUCACAAAGAUGUCUCUUUCAAAAUCCUCAGCAUCCAUAUUUGUUCAUGGAAUUAGUCUAGAGGGUGAGUACCAGAAGAUUGGAACUCCUUGGGGAAUGAAAGGUAGCAUGUACAAUAUUAUCACUUAGUCAUUUGCAGUGCCGAUAGAGUUGACUACCUACUGUUUCCUGACCUAAACAAUUUAAGGUCUUGGAUACAUUCAGUUUUUUAAAAAUUCUAAGAAGACUUUUUUCUUUCCACAACUUAUCUUGGACUUCACAGAAGCCAAAACAUUGGGGUGGCAGUUUUGUACUACUAGAAUAACCACCCCAUACCCCUUCCUGUUUGUGCCCUAGGAAUAAAAACAAUUCUUCCUUCUCUAAAACAUCUGAUGACCACAAAUAGUUUUCCAAGACUAAGAGAAGUCAGCCACCAUUAGGCCAGGGCUCAUUAAGUAACUGCCCACCCACAAUUAUGGUCUGUUUGCUGAAGCCAGAUUUGUUGGUGUUUCUUUGUUAAGACACCCAAGCAAAUCCUCUUUACCUAAGGAAGAGAGAAUUUGUAGUGUUUGACUUGUUAAUCAUGAGCAUCUUGAUCAGGAGUCUGAUGAUCUAAAAACACUGUGAUGGUGGAUGUAGGGCACUGACAGGUGGAGCAUGGAACACAAAGUAUUGAAAUACCUCCUUUGGGGUUUCCCCCCCUGGAAAACUAGGUUUACCUGAACAUUUCAUGGUUUGUCAUACACUCUAUAAUUACAAUGUAGCACUACUGCCAGAUAGUCACAAGAAUGUCCUACUUUCCACAUUCCUGUCAAAAGAACUCAAAACCAUGAGGCCUUAAGGCCAGCUUCCAUAUCUUCCCUUGGGCAAAGGGUCUCUUCUCAGAGCCAGCAGCAGAAUUUCAGCAGCUUGUUCUUCCCUUGUAUUGAGAUUACUAGGUAGCUCCAGGAAAGCCGUCCAUAAAUCCUUGUUUGGGAUCUCAGCUAGGAACUUACUGUCGAGAAGCUCUGCCCUCCUGAAGCCUCUUGCCCAAGAAGAGUGAUUGAGCCCACUGUUUUACCUAGGUUUAGAAGGCAGUGUUAAUGUUCUGGUGACUAGGGUAACCAGGUGAAUUACUUAUUCUGAACACCUUUGACCUGUAUCACCUGCUUAGCUUUCACCACCUACUUGUUGCAAAUUACUCACCUCUCCAUUUGUCUGUGGAGUGAUCUUUGUAGAAUUUGUGUCUGAAUCUUGUCACUUGGCUUCUAGAAAAGCUGUGUUGUCUCCACUUGACUUGCAGCCAAGCACCAUAUAUUUUGAUUAGUGAUGUUUCAGGAUGUGGCUGUUAAUUAAAGGAGAACCAAAUGUUUUCUCUUCAUAUCAUCUCACCUCCCACAAAGGAAAAUACUAUUUAAAUCAUGCUAGCAAAGCAGAGCUUAGUAGCUAACUACGGUUAUCAAAUGACAUUUUUAAAUCUUUUAAUUGUCUUCCAGAAAUGCAAAUUUAUUAACUUUUUUUCUUACAAUGAAACAAAGAGGAAUCUUUGCUUUCUGUUAAGCUAGCUUUCAUAUACCCUUUCACUUUAUCAUUUUAUGUUCAUUUUUAAAAAUCUGUUAGUUUUUUAAAGGCUGAAUCUGGGGGUGAUGCCAGAGUUGGACAUAAACCAAUUGUUUAACUCCUCUUCGCCAAUGAAGUCAUUAAUAUUGCCGUUCCUCCAUCAUGUUGAAAGUUCAGGAUUUUUUUUUUUCAUCAAGUCCACAGAUAAUAAUAAUAAACAGUGCUUCUUGAGACUUAAAAUGUUUUGUCAAAUCAGAGCUAAAGAACUAUGGAAGUGGGGCAGCUAGAUGGCGCAGUAGAUAGAGCACCGGCCCUGGAGUCAGGAGGACCUGAGUUCAAAUUUGGCCUCAGACACUUAAGACGUACUAGCUGUGUGACCCUGGGCAAGUCACUUAACCCCAAUCGCCUCACUAAAAAAAAAAAAAAAAAACUAUGGAAGAAUUCUGACAUAGACCUCCCAGAGAAAUUAGAACAGAAGAAGUGUCUAAAAUCAAUGUGAACUUUAGGGCUUUACAAAGUUUCACAUUAGAAACUGUUACCGAAUUUGAAUCAAAGCAAAACAGCAGUCUUUCAAAAAAAAUCCAAGACAUUGUUUUUGACCUUAGAAGCUGUGUGUACUUUGGGGCAGGGGGAAGGAUAGAGAAAUACGAAACUGAAAUGCAAUAAAUAUAUUAAAAUUUGUAGGGGUAGGAAUAUAUUUUCCUGAUCUGUGAUUUGAAAUUGUGGUGUUUUACCACUCUGACUUUUUUUUUAAGUGCAUUUUGGUUUGACAAACACUAAUGUUAAAAUUGUUUUAAAUAUCAUUUAAAUGGUAAAAUUGAGUAUUGUGUUAGGUUCUGCUUAUUUAGUAUUUUGUCUCAGAACAACAAGAUACAUUUUACUACUAAGAGCCUCUUGUAAAUUCCCCAGGCUUUGAUGUUUUUUGAAAAAAUCCAAAAUGCCAUCACUUAAUGAUUCAUUUGUCCUUAGAAACAUGAAAGAGUUUUCAGGGACAAGGGCUUUGUGCCACAACUAGUUCCUAUGCCAUAUACAUAUAUACAUACAUAUCCAUUUAUAUAUUUUUAAAAUUCUAUAUAUACUUUAAAAGUAUAGUUUGAUGGCAGAGAUCUAUGUGUUAACAUUGAGGUCACCACAUAGAAAUCAUUUUAGAAAACAAGUUUGUAUUGCUGUAACUUCAAUACUUCAUUCAUUAUGCCUACUUACUUUAAAAGAAAUUUAUUUUUCAUCAUGAAUAUAGAAAAAAAUUCACUUUGUAAUUUUUAUAUCAUUUAUGUGUGGAGCACAUCCCCCAUCAGCCUUUGAUAUGAGGAAAGGUGUCAGUUGUGGUUUCAAAUUCAAAGAUCCAUCUAUCAGUGGAAAUAAAAAUAUCCCUGGUAUGAUUUAAUAGCAAUGUGAGAAAUAGUCUCAUAUUUUUACUUGCAAAGUGAUCUAAUAUGUGAUUACAAGCUGUGAGAGUUUUAUUGGAACAGAAUUACUUGUUAAUAUUAGAGCAUCUUAAUUGUUUCUCAGUGCACUGUAAACUUUAAAGUGUUAUGUAAAGGUCAGCUAUCUUUGAUUACAUUUUUCAGUCCUUUCUCUGCUAAAAUGUUACUAAAGUAUGGCUUUACAGAAGGAUGCAAAGCUGUGGUCCAUUUUUAUUAGCUUGUCUUAAUUCAUUAUCAGGUACUACUCUGGUGAUUGUAAUGGUCUACUUUAAUUUGCAAUUUAUGUCACUAGAUUUUUAUAAAAUGAUUCUGUUUAUUAUACUAUUCAUGAAAAUUGGUUAGAGCCUAUUUUAAAAUACAUUGUUGGCGAUUUCAACAGACUAAACCAGUAUUGGUUUAAUUGAACUGAUAUGUGAGUCGGUUUUAAUUAAGGUUCUCUUAGUGCUGGGUGAAAUAGGCAAAGGGAAAGCCUACAUUGUGAUUCCUGAAGUGCCCUGAUGUAAAAUAAUAAUUAUUAAUACAUGAUUAUAAUAAAUAUAUAUAUUUA